UGGCGAACGGGUGAGUAACACGUGGGUAAUCUGCCCUGCACUCUGGGAUAAGCCUGGGAAACUGGGUCUAAUACUGGAUAUGACCUUUCUCCUUAUGGGGUUUGGUGGAAAGUUUUUCGGUGUAGGAUGAGCCCGCGGCCUAUCAGCUUGUUGGUAGGGUGAUGGCCUACCAAGGCGACGACGGGUAGCCGGCCUGAGAGGGUGAUCGGCCACAUUGGGACUGAGAUACGGCCCAG
rnacentral:rRNA from 1 species